GCGGUCUCCUCCCAAAGCGUAACGGAGGAGCACGAAGGUUAGCUAAUCCUGGUCGGACAUCAGGAGGUUAGUGCAAUGGCAUAAGCUAGCUUGACUGCGAGCGUGACGGCGCGAGCAGGUGCGAAAGCAGGUCAUAGUGAUCCGGUGGUUCUGAAUGGAAGGGCCAUCGCUCAACGGAUAAAAGGUACUCCGGGGAUAACAGGCUGAUACCGCCCAAGAGUUCAUAUCGACGGCGGUGUUUGGCACCUCGAUGUCGGCUCAUCACAUCCUGGGGCUGAAGUAGGUCCCAAGGGUAUGGCUGUUCGCCAUUUAAAGUGGUACGCGAGCUGGGUUUAGAACGUCGUGAGACAGUUCGGUCCCUAUCUGCCGUGGGCGCUGGAGAAUUGAGGGGGGCUGCUCCUAGUACGAGAGGACCGGAGUGGACGCAUCACUGGUGUU
rnacentral:rRNA from 1 species